rnacentral:misc_RNA from 1 species
AACGCACAUUGCGCCCUUUGGUAUUCCGAAGGGCAUGCCUGUUCGAGCGUCAUUAUCACCCCUCAAGCCUGGCUUGUUGUUGGAUCUCGGUGUGUGGUUUCACCCCUCACCGGUCCCAAACAUAAUGACGGCGUCCGUGGGACUCUCGGUGCAACGAGCUUUCAUUAGCACGCAUGGAGUUGAAAAGUCUUUCGGCACGGUCUUAACAAAAACUUUUUUCCAAAGGUUGACCUCGGAUCAGGUAGGAAUACCCGCUGAACUUAA